rnacentral:lncRNA from 10 species
AAAAUGUUUGUCAGAUAUUGGCUUGCAAAUAUUUUCUCCCAGUCUGCAGGUUGUCUUUUCACCCUCUAAACAGAGUCUUUCACAGCAUGAAACAAAUGGAGGCUUUAAAUGGCCAUUUCAGAAAAGCCUGACCUAGCCUUGAGAGCGUCGGACACGGUCACUCCACCGGUUCCCACUCACGAGGGCAGAUCAUGGGUUUAAAUCCCAUUUGGGUGUGCUAAUUCAGCUUCACAAUAGCUCACCCACCAUGGGCUUAACGCUAUUCAGUGGCCACAGGUGAGUGUGUUUCAGGACAUCACAAAAAGAUAAGCUGAGAAAGAGUGGCCCACCGCUGCCAGAACAGCUUGAGGGCAAGUCCCCACUGACCCGGAAAGUGAGUCAGUUGCAUCACCCCCUUAGAAACCUGGAAAAUGCUUCAUCAUCGGUGUAGAGCGAGAGCCAGCAUUCAAAACGCCAGGGGGCUUAUCAGGCCAUUUCACCACAACAUAAAGUAACAGGCAGACUUGAAUUCAUCUGGCACUGUUGACCAACACAGAGAGCCAAAACACACACGGAAUUCAAAAUCAGAAAUAAUCCCAAGUUUGAGUCAUCCAAUGUGCUUGUCUACAUUGAUUGCACUCACCAGAUAAAAGUCCAAUGCACUCUGUGGGGUGAAACAGCCUCUGUCUCAGGUUGGGAGUUGCUGCCAUGGAGACCACAAGAGUGGAGAUUUUCUGACACACAGAAAGGAAUGGAUUACAGCUCCUUCUUAUGUAAAUUUCCAUGGAGGGGAAAAAAGAUUAAAAGGAAAAUAAUUCUGCUUUAGUCGUUUUCCUUUAAGGUGAUAAGAUCCUUUGAUUCCAUCGUGGAGAAGAAGGCAACAGCUGUUUGUCACAAAUGAUGGGAAAUGUGCCAACGUCACAACAAGGUUUGAGGGAGGCACAUCUCAUGCUCGGACAUGAACACCCGAUCAUCAUGCUUAUGAACUACAAAAGGAUCUCCAGUAUGGGCUCACGGCAGUUGGCCCUUGAAUAACAUGAAUUUGAACUGCCUGAGUCUGCUAAUAUGUGGAUUAUCUUCUGCUUCUGCACCCUGAGACAGCAAGACCAACCCUUCCUCUUGCUUCUUUUCCUUAGCCUAUUCAACGUGAAGAUGACUAAGGUGUCUGCUGGAAGCGAGGGAGUCAGCCAUGCAAGUAUCUGGAGGACAAACAUCCCAGUCAGAGGGUUCAGCAAAUGCAAGAUCCCUGAUGUUGGAAUGAG